AAACAUAAUUUUGUCAUUUUCUUAUAAAUUUCAAUAUUAUAAAAUUUGAAACUUAAAAAAAUACAAUAUCGACCCAAAAUUCAUCAUUGAAUUUUGAUUGUUAUAUUUAAGAUUUUUCCUGUAAUAUAUCGUCUCGUAUUAAUAUAUUUUUUAUAU
rnacentral:sRNA from 1 species